GGGUUGUGAGGUUAAGCGACUAAGCGUACACGGUGGAUGCCUAGGCAGUCAGAGGCGAUGAAGGGCGUGCUAAUCUGCGAUAAGCGUCGGUAAGGUGAUAUGAACCGUUACAACCGACGAUACCCGAAUGGGGAAACCCAGUGCAAUUCGUUGCACUAUUGCAUGGUGAAUACAUAGCCAUGCAAGGCGAACCGGGGGAACUGAAACAUCUAAGUACCCCGAGGAAAAGAAAUCAACCGAGAUUCCCCCAGUAGCGGCGAGCGAACGGGGAAGAGCCCAGAGUCUGAAUCAGUUUGUGUGUUAGUGGAAGCGUCUGGAAAGUCGCACGGUACAGGGUGAUAGUCCCGUACACAAAAACACACCUUCUGUGAACUCGAUGAGUAGGGCGGGACACGUGACAUCCUGUCUGAAUAUGGGGGGACCAUCCUCCAAGGCUAAAUACUCCUGACUGACCGAUAGUGAACCAGUACCGUGAGGGAAAGGCGAAAAGAACCCCGGCGAGGGGAGUGAAAUAGAACCUGAAACCGUGUACGUACAAGCAGUGGGAGCACCUUCGUGGUGUGACUGCGUACCUUUUGUAUAAUGGGUCAGCGACUUAUAUUUUGUAGCAAGGUUAACCGAAUAGGGGAGCCGUAGGGAAACCGAGUCUUAACUGGGCGUCUAGUUGCAAGGUAUAGACCCGAAACCCGGUGAUCUAGCCAUGGGCAGGUUGAAGGUUGGGUAACACUAACUGGAGGACCGAACCGACUAAUGUUGAAAAAUUAGCGGAUGACUUGUGGCUGGGGGUGAAAGGCCAAUCAAACCGGGAGAUAGCUGGUUCUCCCCGAAAGCUAUUUAGGUAGCGCCUCGUGAACUCAUCUUCGGGGGUAGAGCACUGUUUCGGCUAGGGGGUCAUCCCGACUUACCAAACCGAUGCAAACUCCGAAUACCGAAGAAUGUUAUCACGGGAGACACACGGCGGGUGCUAACGUCCGUCGUGAAGAGGGAAACAACCCAGACCGCCAGCUAAGGUCCCAAAGUCAUGGUUAAGUGGGAAACGAUGUGGGAAGGCAUAGACAGCCAGGAUGUUGGCUUAGAAGCAGCCAUCAUUUAAAGAAAGCGUAAUAGCUCACUGGUCGAGUCGGCCUGCGCGGAAGAUGUAACGGGGCUAAACCAUGCACCGAAGCUGCGGCAGCGACACUUAGGUGUUGUUGGGUAGGGGAGCGUUCUGUAAGCCGUUGAAGGUGGCCUGUGAGGGCUGCUGGAGGUAUCAGAAGUGCGAAUGCUGACAUAAGUAACGAUAAUGCGGGUGAAAAACCCGCACGCCGGAAGACCAAGGGUUCCUGUCCAACGUUAAUCGGGGCAGGGUGAGUCGACCCCUAAGGCGAGGCUGAAAAGCGUAGUCGAUGGGAAACAGGUUAAUAUUCCUGUACUUGGUGUUACUGCGAAGGGGGGACGGAGAAGGCUAGGCUAGCCGGGCGACGGUUGUCCCGGUUUAAGCAUGUAGGCGGAGUGACUUGGUAAAUCCGGUUGCUUAUCAACGCUGAGGUGUGAUGACGAUGCACUACGGUGCAGAAGUAGUUGAUGCCAAGCUUCCAGGAAAAGCCUCUAAGCAUCAGGUAACAUUGAAUCGUACCCCAAACCGACACAGGUGGUCAGGUAGAGAAUACUCAGGCGCUUGAGAGAACUCGGGUGAAGGAACUAGGCAAAAUGGUGCCGUAACUUCGGGAGAAGGCACGCUGGCAUUAGGUAAAGAGACUUGCUCUCGGCGCCGAAGCCAGUCGCAGAUACCAGCUGGCUGCAACUGUUUAAUAAAAACACAGCACUGUGCAAACACGAAAGUGGACGUAUACGGUGUGACGCCUGCCCGGUGCUGGAAGGUUAAUUGAUGGGGUCAGCCGCAAGGCGAAGCUCUUGAUCGAAGCCCCAGUAAACGGCGGCCGUAACUAUAACGGUCCUAAGGUAGCGAAAUUCCUUGUCGGGUAAGUUCCGACCUGCACGAAUGGCGUAAUGAUGGCCAGGCUGUCUCCACCCGAGACUCAGUGAAAUUGAACUCGCUGUGAAGAUGCAGUGUACCCGCGGCAAGACGGAAAGACCCCGUGAACCUUUACUAUAGCUUGACACUGAACAUUGAGCCUUGAUGUGUAGGAUAGGUGGGAGGCAUUGAAGUGUGGACGCCAGUCUGCAUGGAGCCAACCUUGAAAUACCACCCUUUAAUGUUUGAUGUUCUAACUCGGCCCCGUAAUCCGGGGUGAGGACAGUGUCUGGUGGGUAGUUUGACUGGGGCGGUCUCCUCCCAAAGAGUAACGGAGGAGCACGAAGGUUAGCUAAUCACGGUCGGACAUCGUGAGGUUAGUGCAAAGGCAUAAGCUAGCUUGACUGCGAGAGUGACGGCUCGAGCAGGUACGAAAGUAGGUCUUAGUGAUCCGGUGGUUCUGAAUGGAAGGGCCAUCGCUCAACGGAUAAAAGGUACUCCGGGGAUAACAGGCUGAUACCGCCCAAGAGUUCAUAUCGACGGCGGUGUUUGGCACCUCGAUGUCGGCUCAUCACAUCCUGGGGCUGAAGUAGGUCCCAAGGGUAUGGCUGUUCGCCAUUUAAAGUGGUACGCGAGCUGGGUUUAGAACGUCGUGAGACAGUUCGGUCCCUAUCUGCCGUGGGCGUUGGAAGAUUGAGAGGGGCUGCUCCUAGUACGAGAGGACCGGAGUGGACGAAUCACUGGUGUUCGGGUUGUCAUGCCAAUGGCAUUGCCCGGUAGCUAAAUUCGGAAGAGAUAACCGCUGAAAGCAUCUAAGCGGGAAACUUGCCUCGAGAUGAGUCUUCCCUGGGGCUUUAAGCCCCCUGAAGGAACGUUAAAGACUAUGACGUUGAUAGGCUGGGUGUGUAAGUGCAGCGAUGCAUUGAGCUAACCAGUACUAAUGAUCCGUGAGGCUUAACCUUACAACACCAAAGGUGUUUUG
rnacentral:rRNA from 1 species